rnacentral:rRNA from 1 species
GAUGAACGCUGGCGGCGUGCCUAAUACAUGCAAGUCGAACGAAGAUCUAGCUUGCUAGAUCUUAGUGGCGAACGGGUGAGUAAUACAUAAAUAAUCUGCCCAUAUGACUGGGAUAACUAUUGGAAACGAUAGCUAAUACCGGAUAGGUUGAUUGGAGGCAUCUCUGAUUAAUUAAAGUAGGAUUUCUACACAAAUGGAUGAGUUUAUGGCGCAUUAGUUAGUUGGUGGGGUAACGGCCUACCAAGACGAUGAUGCGUGGCCGACCUGAGAGGGUGCCCGGCCACACUGGGACUGAGACACGGCCCAGACCCCUACGGGAGGCAGCAGUAGGGAAUUUUCGGCAAUGGGCGCAAGCCUGACCGAGCAACGCCGCGUGAGUGAUUAAGGCCUUCGGGUUGUAAAGCUCUGUUGUAAGGGAAGAACAUUCAGGAUAGGAAAUGAUCUUGAACUGACGGUACCUUACCAGAAAGCCACGGCUAACUACGUGCCAGCCGUCGCCGUAAAAC